GGACGCUUAGCUCAGUUGGUAGAGCAGCUGACUCUUAAUCAGCGGGUCGUGGGUUCGAACCCUCAGCGUCUACCA
rnacentral:tRNA from 1 species